UUGUGCGUAGCUCAAUGGUAGAGCGCAAGAUUGUGGCUCUUGUGGUUUGUGGGUUCAAGUCCCAUCGCACACCCCA
rnacentral:tRNA from 1 species